AUUCGGGGGAGGAACCAACCGGGAUUGCCUCAGUAACGGCGAGUGAAGCGGCAAGAGCUCAAAUUUGAAAGCUGGCUCCUUCGGGGUCCGCAUUGUAAUUUGCAGAGGAUGCUUCGGGUGCGGCCCCCGUCUAAGUGCCCUGGAACGGGCCGUCAGAGAGGGUGAGAAUCCCGUCUGGGAUGGGGUGUCCGCGCCCGUGUGAAGCUCCUUCGACGAGUCGAGUUGUUUGGGAAUGCAGCUCUAAAUGGGUGGUAAAUUUCAUCUAAAGCUAAAUACUGGCCGGAGACCGAUAGCGCACAAGUAGAGUGAUCGAAAGAUGAAAAGCACUUUGAAAAGAGAGUUAAAAAGCACGUGAAAUUGUUGAAAGGGAAGCGCUUGCGACCAGACUCGCCUGCUGGGGU
rnacentral:rRNA from 1 species